rnacentral:rRNA from 1 species
ACUCCUACGGGAGGCAGCAGUGGGGAAUCUUGGACAAUGGGGGCGAACCCUCGAUCCAGCCAUGCCGCGUGAGUGAUGAAGGCCGUUAGGGUCGUAAAGCUCUUUCGUCCUGUGAUGAUAAUGACAGUAGCAGGUAAAGAAACCCCGGCCUAACUCCGUGCCAGCAGCCGCGGUAAGUACGGAGGGGUUAGCGUUGUUCGGAAUUACUGGGCGUAAAGCGCGCGUAGGCGGAUUAGUCAGUUAGAGGUGAAAUCCCAGGGCUCAACCCUGGAACUGCCUUUAAUACUGCUAGUCUUGAGUUCGAGAGAGGUGAGUGGAAUUCCGAGUGUAGAGGUGAAAUUCGUAGAUAUUCGGAGGAACACCAGUGGCGAAGGCGGCUCACUGGCUCGAUACUGACGCUGAGGUGCGAAAGUGUGGGGAGCAAACAGGAUUAGAUACCCUGGUAGGAUAGCG